GGCAGUGUGGUCAACUGGGCAGAGCACUGGACUGGGAAUCAGGAGACGUGGGUUGUAUUCCUGCCCCUGCCA
rnacentral:tRNA from 1 species